rnacentral:misc_RNA from 1 species
GUGAAUCAUCGAAUUUUUGAACGCAAAUUGCACUCUCUGGUAUUCCGGAGAGUAUGCCUGUUUGAGGGUCAGUUUAAAUAAAAAUCGGUGUGGUUGCUGCCUUUCGUGGUGACGCACCGGAUUUGGGUCGUCUUGCCUUCGGUUAAGUGACCUAAAAUUUUGCAUGAUUUUUUUGAAAGUUUUUAAAUUAUUUUUCGUAAGGUUUCGAUUUCGAAUACUAGGGUCGGUU